rnacentral:rRNA from 1 species
CCUACGGGAGGCAGCAGUGAGGAAUAUUGGUCAAUGGGCGGAAGCCUGAACCAGCCAAGUAGCGUGCAGGAUGACGGCCCUAUGGGUUGUAAACUGCUUUUAUACGGGGAUAAAGUGGGCUACGUGUAGCUUAUUGCAGGUACCGUAUGAAUAAGGACCGGCUAAUUCCGUGCCAGCAGCCGCGGUAAU